UGACUAUCUUUAAUGUACAGUUAAAUGACACCGGGAGCUACAGCUGUCAAAUAACAGAUGAUCAAAGUGGUGUACGGACAAUGGAGUGGAAUAUGACCAUCACUAAUAACCUCACAGCUCAUGCUGAACAUGGCCUACGGAGGUUAUUGCUCUUCACAAUUCCAUCUGCUAUUGGAGGAGUGGUUCUCUGCAUUAACAUCUGCUGUAUGGUCUGGCUGUGUAGGAAACGAAUACCGGAACAGACAAGUCAUUGUGAUAGGCACGGAGAGGUCAGUAGCUUAAUUCAGAUGGGUUGGGUUAAAUGAGGAAGACACAUUUUGGUUGAAUGCAUUCAGUUGUGGUACUAACUGACUAGGUAUCACCUUUCCCUUUCCAUUCAGCACUAGAUCAUUACUAAACGAAGUGGCUGUGUGUUGUGUUUGUCCCACCAGCAGGAUGCCAUUUCUCGUUUUCUAAAACUCAUUAUGUU